GUUUUUUUGUUUUCUUCGCUGGACUUUGGGAGAAUCAUUGUCCCCGUAAUAUUCCUGAACGCGUUUCUGAAAGGCAGGGCGCCUCUCACGGCAGAACCACCUGCUCUGCCUUUGGUAACUCCUUUGUAAAACCAGACGUUCCUCUUGCUUUCAGGAUGAUGGAGUCUUGUUUUCCGGAGACCGUACUGGCCGGUAUGUGGGUGACGGGAGAAGGCUGAUUCUAUAGUCCAGAGAAGGAAGGAGAGGGAUGUACAUAUGUUCACGUUCAGCCUCAUGGAAGGCAGAGACCAAUUGGGGCCGCUGGAAAGACGGAGAGCGGAUGCCAGUUUGAUUUAGCUCAGGAGGCUGACAUUUUCUGCCCCGCAGGCUGGCGCGAUGGAACAGACCUUCUCGUUGCUCACAAUAUGAUGAAAAAACACAUUAAAGCCACAAUUUUUAUUGCUUGCCCCGGAGCCAGAGCUUUAGAAUGUACUUUCCUCUCCCCCCCUGCCCGCCCUAACCCACUUAGCUUUUAAAAAUAAACCGCGCAUUCCUGCGUUGGCUAGA